rnacentral:lncRNA from 1 species
CUCGACCUACACAGAAUUGCCACAUCUUUCAACCAAAAAAUAAUUUUAUGUCAAACAUUCCAUAUUUGAGAACUUUUCACAAACAACCCUUUAACCCCACCACCAAUAUAUUAUCAACAUACAACCACCUUUCCUCCCCCAACAAUCGAGGUGUUACAAACACCAUAAAAGAAAUCAUAUUCAUAAAGAAAAGUGCGAAGUAAAUAAAGAAAGAAGGGGGUGCCAACUCUAUGAGAAUCAAGUAUCAAAUUUUGACCGCCGAAAGCUAUGGAAGUUGAAUAUGAUGGUGAGCCGCCUGUUCAAACCUUGAUUCGAGUCAUUAACCUGGAAAAACUUGAACGGCCACCUUACGCUCCUCUAUCGACCUUCAUUCAGCAAGUGCAGUUUCGAAAUUGGGGUUGUGAUGAGAUUCUGUCACUGAUGAACUGAAAUUGCAAAUUUGGCUUAAAUUUCUGUGUGGAAUUCAUGAUUCAAUGAGAAACUAGUGAGCAUCGGCGUCUGCUGAAGAAGGUGUUAUAAGUGAUCAGAAAAUAGAAGGUUAUUUCAUGGUGGUUCUUGGUGGAGGACGAUG